AGUCUGACAGCCUGAAGUGGUAUACUCCCUGAGAGCUGCUCUUUUUAAUAUAGAAGCCUGAGUUCAAGCCUUGAUUGCCUGGAAUUGAACUUCCAUGUAAAGAAUUGUUCCGGAUAGUCUACUUUGCUCAAUCUUCAGAUCCUAUGACCUGGGAAACCUGCAGAGAAUAAACUUCUGAGGUGAAGAUGAAGAAACAGAAGCACAGAAAGGUUGAGUGAUUUUCCUAAUAUCACACAGCCAGAAAAUGGAGCUAGAACUUGAACUCAGCAGUCUGGCCUUAGAAUCUCUGCAGUUAAACACUAUAUUCUUCAUAUUAAGGGUGAAAGUACCAAGAACUACAUAAUGAAUAGUAAAAAAGAAUAUGGUGGAGGAUUAUGGUGUGUCGUGCUUCAGGAGACUAAAUCUCAGCGUCAACUCCUAUGGAUGUAAGGUGGAUAAUAGAGAGAGGAGGCCAUCAGAAACAGCUUGUUAAAUGAGGUGUUGAGUAGAGUUGGAAAAGAACACAACCAUGACUGGUAAUAGGAGCUUGGAAAUUACAUAGGUCACCCAGUUUGGGGUACUCUGCUGUGGCAGCCCUAGAAGACUAACACAGGAAGUCACAUACCAAGUCCAGAGUCAGUAUGGGACUGACCAAGAGCAUGGAUACAGGCAAGCAUGAGCAAACUGGGGACCAAUUCUGCAAUAAUACACCCCAGAGAGUAAAGAGGAGGAGCCCAGGUCCCUUUAGUCACAGAAGUUAACGGGAACAGGAGCAAAAGCUUGAAACUAACUGAGAGAUAGUCACUGGAGUCAGCCGGACAGAUAUCAAAAUGUCAACUUGAUAAUGGUUAAAGCUAAAAGACAAAUCUGGAUCUACAUCUGCCUCCAACCCAGCAUUGAACUUUCCGCAUCCCCAGCAGGAGGUGCUGGGUACUGUAGCAGCAGCCCCACCCCCUCCCCGAGGGACAGCCUGCCCUCCAUGCCAUACUUACUACACGGUGCAGGGUUGGGCAGCACACAUGCUCUUGGAAAAUAGGAAGCUGAGCUGGAAAGCCCAACGGACUUCUUUCUCACAGACCUGCC